UACGUAGGUGGCAAGCGUUAUCCGGAUUUACUGGGUGUAAAGGGCGUGUAGGCGGGUCUGCAAGUCAGAUGUGAAAUUUCAGGGCUCAACCCUGAACCUGCAUUUGAAACUGUAGAUCUUGAGUGAUGGAGAGGCAGGCGGAAUUCCGUGUGUAGCGGUGAAAUGCGUAGAUAUACGGAGGAACACCAGUGGCGAAGGCGGCCUGCUGGACAUUAACUGACGCUGAGGCGCGAAAGCGUGGGGAGCAA
rnacentral:rRNA from 1 species